rnacentral:lncRNA from 1 species
GCUUGAUGGACUUGGAUUCAGGCCUUCAUCAACCUGAACAAAAUAACUCAUUUCCAGAAGUGAGAACGAAAAGAUGUUCUGUUCAUGAGCAUAAUUUGUGAAGCAUGUUCCAUACUAAUCUUCUUUGUUUUGAAAACAGCCGUGGAGUGAGGCAGUUGGAAACUCAUCAAUUAGCUUGGCCGACUUGGAUUCAAAUCUUCAUCAACCUGAACAUGAGAACUUAUUUCUGGAAGUGAGAAUGAAAAAAUGUUCUGUUCAUGGUAUAAUUUGUGAAGCAUGUCCAUAACUAGCCUUUUUUACUUUUGAAAACAGCCUUGGAUUCAGGCAGUGGAAAACCCAUCAAUUAGCUUGGUUGACUUGCAGUCAGACCUUCGUCAACCUGAACCUGAGAACUCAUGUCCAGAAGUGAGAACAAAAAAAAAUGUUUUGUUCAUGGAUAUGAUUUGUGAAGUAUGUCCAUAAUUAACCUAUUUACUUUUCAAAACAGUCAUGGAUUCUGGUAGACUCAGCAACGGAGCCCUCACUUCAGCAGGACAACCAAGUUCAAGUCAUUACAUCAAUUCUCCCGCAGACUUCUUUCCAAUCAGAAAUUGACUCCCAAACCGACUUACAUGUUAGAAAUUUCGGAAGUCCAUCUUUUGCGAACCUCCCAUGGGAUGAUGAAUCCAACCAGUUGCAAGUCGGCUACAUUGACAGAGAUCAAAUUCAAACACAGGUCAAAAUUCUACUCCUAAAGUUUCGGUUGGUUAUAUAGCUUGUUCACCUUUAUUAUAUUUAGGGAAGAAAUACGUACAUAGAAAAGAGAGAUUUUGGGGAAAUUCCUCAUGCCCUAUUAGCCUUCAAUUGGAUAUGUACCAGAAUGGCAAAAAAACUGCCAAAGAAAAAUAUUGCCAGAUUAAAUAAUAUCACAUCAGGUAAGUGAAGCGGAACAUAUCAACAUAUAAUACAGCUUCCAGACACAUUUUAAAUGAAAAUUUGGAUGUUCGUCAUGAGCUUUACUGUUUAAGAUUAUGCCUCAGCCAUUCAUUUUCCUUCGAUGUGUUUCAUCUCCCGCAUUGCAGUAUGGCCCAAAAUGUAGCCCAGAUGAUGAACAUGCUGUUCUGAGGAAGAGUCAGCGAGCAAAAAUGAUCAAAUCACUCCAUGGUGUAGUUUCACUAGAUGAAAAGAAAGGGUUCAUUGAACAUAAGUUCAAUGGGUUACAUAUCUCCUCCCAGAAGCAUAUGGAGCCUCCAAAAAAGCCUGAAAUUGCAAGAACUUACAGCACUGAUGAAGAAUCAAGGGUUGAAAAGGUGGAGAAGCUGGAACUUGCUGCCAGAAAUAUCAAACCAGAAUGUGUUACUCUGGAUGAAUUAGAAGCCAAAGCAAAGGUGAAACAAGCUUCUAAAUUCACUCGUAAUGUCUAAUUAUUAAUUUCAAUUUAGGAUUUUUUGCAUUGAGUUUACUGGUAAAGUUAAUGGCAAGGUUUUCAUAUUUUGAGCGAAAUUCAAAAGAAAAGAGUAGGACAAUUCCGAGUUUCAAGAGUCUCCAGUUGAUUUAAUUAUUUGUUUCUGUAUAAGCAUAUAAGAUAGAAUGUUUUACAAACAUUGGGAGAUAGGAGAAAGCAGAGAGCACCAUGCUGCAUCAAAAUCACCCCAGAACAAUCACAACAAAGGAAUUGAACUUGCCAUAGAGAAACCAAAUUCAAUGCCUAACUUGAGAGGAACAAUCACUGACUGCACAAAGAUUUCCAUGGUUCCUCCACUGGUUAAUUUUGCAAAACGUGCUUAUUGGGAUUUGCUUGUUAAUGCCCUGAAAUAACAAACAAGACCAUGCAAAGAAGCGGAAAAUCAUAAUGUAAUAUAGCUUCCAGACAAUUUUAGAAAUGAAACCACUAAUGUUUGUCAUAAGACCAGGAUCAUGCCUGAGUUGGCUCCUCUGGUUCAAUUGAUCUCAAGCAAUAUGUUGGUUGCAGUAUGGCCAAACAUCCAGCUCACGUAAUGCUCAUGCUAAGGUGGAGAAUUGGCAGACACCAACAAUUGAAACUCUCCAUGGCCAAACAUCUAGCUCACAGAACAAAAAUGCUAUGGAGGAGACUGGGCAAACACUAGCAAUUGAACUACCCCAUGGAUGUCGAGAAGUUCCUCCAGAGGAAAAGAAAAGCUUUGAUAGGAAUGAGUCCAACUGCUCAAAUGUCUUUCCCCCAAAACGUAUGGAUCCUCUGGAAGAGCCUGCAACUGUAAGAAUUUAUAGCAAAGGUGAAAAGAUGAGGUUUUUAGAGGUCAAAAAGCAAGAACUUGCAGCCAAAAAUAUCAAACCAAAUUGUGCAUUAUUGGAUGACUCGGCCACCAAAGCAAAGGUAAGAGAAGCAUGUUGUUUGUUCCUUCAUUUUCUGUCGCUUCCCUGUAACAUAAACCAAAGUAGCAUGAUAUAUCAAAGAAUGUCAUCACAGAGAAGUGAAAAGCUCAAAAUGUAGCAGACUACACACACUUCUAAAAUGAAAGCUCCCAUGGGUCAGGAGAUUGAGCGUGCACUACACCUCAGUUAUUUCUUCUGAUACAGUUGAUCUCAUUCAUGCAAUGUCUUGUUGCAGUCGCAUAAUGAACAUGUUGCGGUAGUGGAUAAUGUGCGAAUUGGAACAGUUGAACCUCUCAAUGGAGUUGCUCCUCUGCACAAAAAGAAAGGCUUCGACAAGAAUAAGUUUGACAGCUUACAUGUCUCCUCCACAAAACAUACGGAGCUUCUUGAAAAGCUUAGAAAGGAAGAUCUGGCAGCCAGAAAUAGUAAAUCAGUAUAUAUACCUUUGGAUGAAUCAAUAGCCAUAGCAAAGGUAAAAGAAGCUUCUAUACCCAUCGUGUCUAAGUAUUAAUUUUUUUGACUCUGUGCUUUUUUAAAAUUACUUGGGUGGUUUGAGUUAAUGGCACCUAUCUUGUACUUUAGGACAAGAUAGAAAAGACUAGCAGAAUGCAAUGACUAAUUAACCGUGUUAGACAAAUUGUUUAGUUUUUUCUUUUCUUGAAAGUUUAAGCUGCCAUAAAUGAUUGACCACCAAGGGAACAAAGAUUCACUAUUCCUCCCCUUGUUAUUCCUGCAAAAAUGCGAAUGGCUCUCUUAUUCCCUCUUUACAAUUGAUCUCGUGCAAUGUGUUAUUGCAGCAUGACCAAGCAUCUAGGUUCCAUAAAGGAUCUAUUCUAGAGGAGAAUUGGCUGACAUCAACAAACAAAUCCCUUGAUGGUGUUCUGAAGGGAAAAAAGGGCUGUACCGAGAGUGAGUUGGACGAAUGGGAGAUCGUCUCUGCAAAACAGACAGAGCAUCCAAAAAAGGCUGGGAAUGCAGGAAUUUCUUGCAAAUACAAAGAUCCGAGGUUAGAAAAACUCAAGAUGCCGGAAUUUUCAGCCAGAGAGAUAUCAAACCAGAAGGUUCACCUCUGGUUGAAUCAAAAGCUAGAUCAAAGGUAAUACUCUCGAGUACUUUUUUGGAGUAUUGUAUUGGUUGGAUUGAUACAAUAUACUAAGGUUUUAGAGUGAUACAAUAUAGUCACAGAGGAGAAAGCAAUGAGCACAGGGAGGAGACUGAACCAGCCAGAGAGAUAUCAAUUUCAGCUACUCCAUCGGCUGGAUCAACAAGCAACCACGCAAAGAUUAGUGCCAAUUCUUCAACCUUCAAAAUUACCACAAGAUUCAUGCCUUGGUGAUACAAGCCUCUCGAUUAAUUUGUGUAUAUAGGAUCACUUGUAGCUUAUCUUCACUUGGAUUGCCAUGCCUUGUACUUAUCUGUAAUGGAAUAAAGACUCUUGGUAAAAGCGUUCACCGGUUCCGGAAGUGAAAAACCAAACUGAGAAGCUUCUUCUGAAAGUGUUCUCAAUCUGCAAACCUCCGUCAUUGCAUUAAAUUUUCUUUUCUUUUCUUUUCCAAAUCGAAACGUGUUGAAGCAUAUUUUUCUUUCUUCAAACUUCAUUUAUGGAUGAGGAUAAAUUCUGCAUCUCAGCUAUGCGCACCAUGUGCAGAUCAAAUUGCACCUAACGCGAUUGUCAACUCUCUAAACAGGCUGAAGCGCUGCCACUUCUCCCAUGGCAGCACACCAUCGUUCACCACCGUCUGUCUUCUCUGUAAACAUUAAACACACAAUGCCACCACCGCACCGUCACCAUCGCCGGCUGCCACUCAUCAUUGAACCACCAUACUCACAUACCGUCAUCACCAUCUUCUCCUUCAUCCACAACCAGCGUCCACCGUAAAUGAAAGAAACAAGCUGCCGCCACCGUGGGAUUUUCCAUUUUUCGCACUACCCGGAUUGUUUCGACUGCCAUCAUCGUCUGCUGCAGUCCACCAUCCGUCACGCCGCCACCACAAUGACCAUCGCUUGGAACCACCAUCAAGAAUCCAUGGUCACCACCGACCGCGAUGCCAAAGGCCAUGAACCAACACCAAGAACCUUUUACCGCCUCAGACAUUGCUGGAAAACAACCAUCCAAGCAAAUUCCGUGGCCAUCGUCGUUGGGUUGCGACUGGAUUUGAGGCGCUGGACUUCACCGAGCCGCAAAAUAAACAGGAAGCAAGAAGAAAGAGGGAAGAAGAGGAGGAACAAAGAAAGAGGAAAAUGGGAAAUCGUGAGCUGGACCAGGAAAAGUAAGGGGGUGUAUGAUAAAAAAAAAAAAAAAUUGUUCCAGAAAUAAUUUUUCUAUUCCAGAAACAAUUUUGGAAUAGAAAUUCAUUUGGUAAAAUUAUUUCAUUUUUCUAUUUCUGAAAUAAAUUAUUGUUCCAGAAAUAGAUUUGGAGUAGAAAUCAAAAGUAAAAAUUUUAUAUUUUCUAUUUCUGGAACAGAAAUGAGAAUUUAUCGCUGUCGCCGGUCGCCGGUCGCCAGUUGCCACCGCUGGUGGUCCGCCACCAUCCAAAAAGAAUAAAUUUUAUGUCAUUAUUAAACGAAUUUCUAUUUUUAGAGUAGAAAUUUUGUGUCGUUAUCAAACAGUUAUUUUUGCUUAGAAACUCUUUUAAAAAUAGAAAUAAAAAAAUCUAUUUUUGUUUCAAAAACUAUUUCUGGAAUAUAAUAGUUUUCAUGCGCGUCCUAAGUAAACUAGAUCUUGUAAUAGCGGGACAUUUUCUUUGACCAAGUCAAAGAGGAGGUACCUUUUUCUAUUUAAAAAAGAAAAGAAAUAAAAAACGGGUUGAAAAGUUAAAAAAAAAAAUGGGAAAAUGGCAUAAAGCGAGAAUUCUCUCACUUAGGCUGCGCAUGACAAAAUUUUUGAAACAGAAAUUGAUUUCUAGCCAGAAAUCAAUUUCUUAAUUUCUAUUCCCCGGACAAGUUUUUUUUUUUUUUUUUUUUUGGUGACCCAGGAAACCCCGAAAGCCGACAGCCGGCGGGAAGAACCUGGGGCUGACGCAAGCUGGCCACCACACUUACGCCAGCAGUUAAAUCACCCUGCGACGCACUGGGGAUUUGAACCCCUCCCCUUCACGAGGGGGAGAGGGCCCAAAGCCAGCAACGCCACCCAGGUGGGUGGUUAUUCCCCGGACAAGUUUCUAAGCAAAGAAACCCGUUUGAUAACGACUCAAAUUUCUAUUUCUAGGAAUAUAAAUUGAUUAGAUAACAACAUAGGAAAUCCUCAAAUACAAAAUAAUAGUCGAAAUAAUACUAAAACAACAUGGGAAAUCCUCAAAUACAAAAUAAUAAUCGAAAUAAUACUAAUACAUUACAAAAGUUGAAAAUACAAUUUCAUGGAAUUUCCGGCAUAUUAUUAUCCCUUGCCAUUUUAUUAGCAAUUGUUUUUCUAAGCGUAUUUAUUUGGUUCCCUCCUCGGUCAAUGUAUCAUUUGCAAGCCUAUCUUGCAUAGGUUCAGACAGGUACUACGGAAGCAUGAAUAUGGGUGCCAUCAAUGACGCAUAUACAGCCUUGUCAUUUUAUCAAAAACUAGUAUUAUACAAGAUUAUCAAUAAAAUAAAAUUAAUGGUGUAAAGGAAUAUAUGAUAAUUCUACCUUAAAGUAAAGUUUAUGAUUAGGAACCAAUCGGGGGAAUGUCGGUUUAUUUUGAUUCUCGAAUUGAAUCAAUCCAGUUGUUCAUCCCUAAUUUCUUUAUUAUUGCUCAAUGAACCUUUAAUGGCCCUUGCAUAGCAAAGAGAGAGAUUCUCUUGAAUGUCUUGCCUUUAAAUUAAAAUUCAAGAUUGUGUAACAAUUUAAUUAUUUUGAUUUUGCAAGAAUCUUGAAUCUGUAAAAGAAUAAGGUUAAAUUUAUAGACACGUUUUUUAUUCAUCUAUUACGUAAAAAAAUUUUCUUCAACUAACCAUGCGCGUACCUUUUCUAGGAGGAACGAGCCCCAUUGUUUUUAAGUAAACAUUUAAGAACUUUGGUCGUUUUUAAAAAUUGGGGACCCAUUCAAUUUCCUUUCAUAUAUAAAGAGGAAGUUAUCAAAAAAAAAAAAUUGAAAAAAAAAUGCAAAAAAAAAAAACGAGCAAAAUAAGAAAAAGAAAAUUAGCAAUAAUUUGUGAAGUUGUGUUUAUGAGUAAAUUAAGUUAGCAAGAAAGUGCAAGAUUUUUUUAUAUGGUUUGAUUUUAGUUUCUGAUUUCUAUUUCAAAAACUGAGAAGUUAAACAUUCCAGCUUCUGAUUUCUUCAAUUUCUCUAUUUCUGAAAUAGAAAUCUGUUUCAGAAAUAGAGAAAUCAAAUUGCGUUACCAAACGGAUUUAUGUUCCAAACUUGUUCCGGGGAACAGAGAAACAGAGAUAUCGAAAAAACAUAAAUUUUGUCAUGUACGCCUUUAGAGUGGCCGCGGGCGGUUCGGGAAAAAGGAAGAGAGAAGAAAGGAAAAGAAAAAGAAAGAAGAAAGGAAAGGGUCAAGAAGAGAAAGGGGUUUUUAUAUGUGCAUGUCAAUGAGACAUCGUCAAGUUGAUUUGAUUAUGUAAUGCAACACUUAGUAAGUACUCAUGCCCCUUGUUCAUCUAGUUAAAGUAGUGCCGCACCUUAACACCUCUGGGAAAGAGUUUUAGAUUUAGAGGUGUUAUUAAUUUUGGAUUGACAGCCUUUCAUUGACACAGGAUCUCCCAAGUUCAUACCUUGCAUAUUUUCAAAUUUUUAUUCACUUUGAAGAAAUUUGACUAAAAAGUGGCCACUAGAAUUUUGGUGUCAACUAGACCCCUAGGAAAAUAUCUUAUUAUUUGUGCAACUAAAGAUUCUAGACUUGAAAACUUGAUUACAUUAGUCCUAAGAUUAACGCUCAAAGAAUUUUAGGUUUUGUUCUGACCAUUCUAAAACAACGAAUAUGACAUCCAAGAUAUUGAAAAGGGCAACCAUGUAUAAUCACAAAAAAAAAAAAAAAAAAAAACACACACACACACACAAGCAUCCUAAAAUAAUCCGGAAAAAAGGAUAAUCCAAAAUAAAGAAUCCUAUUGUAAAGCUCUAAAGACUUGUCUAAAUUUUGGGUUUUAAUACUUUUAAAGGAUUUUCCUUUUUUUUUUCUAAAAUUUCUGAUUUUUUUCCUUAGGAUUUUCUGAAUUUUUAAUGAUUUUUCUAAUUUUAUGUUAUUUUAUGGAUAUUCUGAUUUUUUAAUGAUUUUAUAAAUUUUCUAAUAGUUUUCGGAAUUUUAUAAAUUUUCAUGAAUUCUUUAUUUUUCAAAUAUUUUAACGUUUUUCCGAAUUUUAAAAUUUAUUUAAUUUAUUUAUUAAUAUUAGUAUUUUUAAUAUUAAUAUAAACGAAAUUUGGACCUAGCUAGGAGACCCAACCCAACCAAACCUGGACCCUAUCGAUGUGGGUUGGGCAAAAAAUGCGCCAAUGCCCACUUUGAAUUGAUCCCCAAUUGGCCUAUGAAAAUAAAAGUAGUCCACUCAAAUUCCAGCCCAUGAGACCAAAUCAAACCCAACCCAAUUAAUCCAACUCACUCCACUUACCUUUUUCCUUUAGCCCCACAUUCCCAAGACAUUAUUUCAUAGGCUACAUUUGGUCGUCUGGAUUUCUAAUCGAGAUAGGAUUGGAUAUGAUAAUAUAUAAAAUUUUGAGAUUCUUUUAUAUCAUAUUCAUUGUUUGAUGAAUCACAGUAUUAAAUUUGGAUAUAUUCACAUUAUAUCAUGUACAUUUUUUUUAAUAUAAAUGACAUAUUAUUAUAAAUGUAUAUAAAUGAAGAGAAAAUGUCACAAAUGGUCCAUGGAUUUCUACUUAAUGUGUAAUCUCGUCCCUGAGUUUUCGAUUUGCUCAAUUUGGUCCAUAAACUAUCGAUAAAUAUCCGAUCUAAUCCAAACUAUUUGAAAAUUGACCAAUUUCGUCAUUCCGUUAGUUAAAGUUAACAGAAUUUGGCAUUUUGGUCUUUUUCUUCUUCUUUUCUUCUUCUUCUCUCUUCCUUCCAAACUAUUUGAAAAUUGACCAAUUUCGUCAUUCCAUUAGUUAAAGUUAACAAAAUUGGGCAUUUUGGUCUUUUUCUUCUUCUUCUCUCUUCCCUCCACUGGCUCCGCCAUGGUCAGCGGAGGGAAGAGAGAAGAAGAAGAAGAAGAAAAAAAAAGACCAAAAUGUCUAAUUCUAUUAACUUUAACUAACGAAAUGAAGAAAUUUGUCAAUUUUCAAAUAGUCGGGACUAGAUCAGACAUUUAUCGAUAGUUCAAGGAGCAAAUUGAGCAAAUCGAAUGCUCACAAACGAGAUUGCACAUGAAGUAGAAGUCUAGGGAACAUUUGUGACAUUUUUCCAAGAAAGAAAUAAAGAUAAGAGAGGCGAACAGGCUUAGAAUGCGUUUGGUUCAACAUUUUGAAAGCUUAUUAGGAAAAUACAAAACAAUUUAGCUUAAAGCACUUUAGGCAAAUACAAAAGUCGUUUGAUAAAUUAUGCUUUGAGAAGUGUUUUUGAGAGAAAUGCUAUUUGGUAGAAAAUACAUUUGAAAAGCUCUAUGGAUGAUUAAUUAUAUAUAUAUUUUUAAUUUUAUUUGUUUAAAAUUGAGAAAAAAUGAUGUAUGCAAUUUUUAAAUAUAAAUUUUGACAAUAAUACUAAAAAAAUCAAACACAUAUAUAAUUUUUUUUUAAAAAAGACCAAACCCUUCAUCGGAAUUUUUUAAUUUUUAUUUUCUUAAAAUUGAAAAAAAUGAUGUAUGCAACUUUUUAAAUAUAAAUUUUCACAAUAAUGCUAAAAAAAAAUCAAAUACAAAUAUAAUUAAAAAAAAAAAAGAUCAAAUCCUUCAUCGAAUUUUUUUAACUUUUAUUUGUUUAAAAUUGAAAAAAAAUAAUGUAUGUAACUUUUUAAAUAUAAGUUUGAGAAUAAUGCUAAAAAAUCAAAUACAUAUAUAUAAUUUUAAAAAAAAUAGCAAACUCUUCGUCGGAAAUUUUUAAUUUUUAUUUGUUUAGAAUUGAAAAAAAUAAUGUAUGCAACUUUUUAAAUAUGAAUUUUGACAAUAAUACUAAAAAAAUCAAAUACAUAUGCUAAAAAAAUCAAAUAUAUAAAUAAUUUUUUGAGAAGACCUAAUAUAUUUAAUUUUUUUAGAAUUUAUAUAUAUGUGUGUGUGUGUGAUUUUUUUAGCAUUAUUUGGUAUUUUUAAAAAUAAUAACGAUGGUAGAAUAAAAAACUUGAAGAAUAAGUGAAGAUUGUUUUGGAAGAAAAAAAUAAGUUUUAGCAUUUGACAAAAUACUGAAAACUCAAAACUAGUUCCUAUUAGCAUUGGGCUUUUAGCUUUUCCAAUACUGACUUUCACUUAAAAGUUAUUUCAAAAUGACUGCCAAACGGUCCAGCAUUUUCUUAAGGGGCUUUAGAGGCUGAAAGCCCUUUGAGAAUACUGAUCAAAUGCACCCUUAGAGGGCCGAAAGUCGCUAAGUGGGCCGGACAUAACGGCCCAGAUGACUUCAUCAUUUUUUUUUUAUCAUUUAUUAAUUUUUUUAUAAAGUUUUAUAUUUUUGCAAAAUAAAUGGAUAUUUAAAACGUUGACAAAAAUUCAGAUGUCAACAAAUAGUUUUUGAGUUUAGGGCUUGAAAUCGGAAUUUUAGGAAACUUGAGCUGUAUAAUCCAAUUUUUUAGUAGUGGGUUUGAUGGUCAUUUGAAGCAACGGUUUUGUUGGAACGAAAUUUUAGAAUUUUGUGAGCAAGUUUUAUGUUACAUUUAGAUUUGAAUAAUUGCUUCAAGUAAGCGAUUUGUUGAUGCGUGAGAGUUAUUUUAUUGGCAUUUAGGCUUAGUUUAGCCGUGCCAUAAUUGAUAUAGCGUUUCACUUAGUUUUGAUGUUAUUUCUUGCUUAUAUGAUAGGAUUGAUAGUUUGUUAAUUUGAUUGUGCCUUGUUAUUUGGCUAAAGGGCACAUCCAAAUGAGUAAUGCUAUCUCUUUUAUGGAUUUGUAAACUCAUGUCUUGAAAGAGAUAAAGAUUUAAGUAUCUUACGAGUAAUCAAGCAUGUUUAUUGUUUAAAAGUCUAUAUUAGACAAUUACUACCUUUUAAUAUUUGAGAAUGAUUCGAGAGUGGUUUUAUGAAAGGUAUUGUGAAAUAAUAUAUAUGUAUAGCUUUGCGAAUUGUUUUAUGGAAUGAGUUAUAAGAUAAUUUAAGAAGCAUUUUAUGAAAAACAUUACAAAAGGUUGUACAUAUCAAUUUGUAAAUUCGGUUUAUGAAAUAAUAUGUAAAUGCUUUACAAAAAAACUAUUUAAUUUCGGAUGAAUUGAAUUACAAAGGUUAUAUGAUUGGUUUGUGAAAUGUAAUGUGGAUUAUGAGAUUAAUUUAUGGAUUGUAUUUCUAGAUAUUGGAGGAUGUAGGUUUGGUGUUCAAUAUCGUUGUUGGUCCAUUGAUAGGCUUGUGAGUAUGCAUACCAGGUUUAAGAUAUCUUUUUGGGUCAAGCCACUGAAUUUGUAGGUGGAGACCUUACCAAGGAAAGAAUCUUGAUUGCCUUGUCAGUAGGCGUUGUGUCGUCACUGUCGUGAUCAUGGUUUGCUAUUAAGUAAAAGAUUAUUUAAUGGAUAGACCAUCGGCGUAUAUUUUGAUAUAGGAUGGAUUAUGAAUAGACCAUUUAUAUGGUUUUUGAUUAGAGAUUAAUCAAUAAAUUUGAUCAUUGAUGCUUGAAUUGUGAGGAUGAUUUAAAUGAGCAUUUUCAAAAUUGAAUAAAAUUUGUUGAAAUGAAAUAACAUAUAUAUGAUUAUAUAUGUAUAUUAAAUAGUUGGAUUAAAAGUUUCUCAUGUUGUCAUACCCCUUGUUGGUUUUGGGGCGUGACAAAUCUCAAAACCCACCAUCAGUCUAGUGAGAGUCAUUUGGAAGGAAAAUCCAUAAGCAAAGAGCCAUUUUCCAUGAAAAAGGGUGGGAAACGAUUUCCAACUCAAUUUCAUGCGAACACUAUAAAUAUUGUUAUUUUUAUAAAAAAAUGAGUUCUCUGAAAAUGUUUUUCAAAAGCACUAAUUUUUAACAAACCAAGCCGAAGCUAAGUAAAUAACAAUGAGCAAAAAUGAAAUUUUUGUCAGGUCAAAACAUGUUGAAGGAAGAGAAUUGGCAAAUAUGAUGCACGCGACAUGAAAUUCUUGUCGACGCAUGUUACCUACCAAAUUAGAUGAAUGUCAACAAUUGAAGUGUGGCCCAUGUAGGAGCCCGUGGUCUAUGAUCGGCACACGCCCAUCAAGCGUACUUCUACUCAUGGUCAGCUACGUAUGGCUAUAGCUAGUCAAUAUUGGGAUAAGCAACAAGCAUUCAAUAUCUCAUCUUGUGGAUACAUCCGAGACGGGGGCUAUCGUCGGAGCCCUAAUUCCAAGGAGUUAUGAGCCAACUAUCAACGUGAAAUGCUUUAUUCCUCUUCAGACAUACCUAAUAUCAAAGAUCUACACUUAUAAGACUAAUACAUCGAAAUCACCUUAGAGAUCAAGAUCGACUUUAAGCUAAUCCCGUGGCCACCGUUGUUGGGUUGCGACUGGAUUUGAGGCAUUGGACUUCACAGUGCCGCAACAUAAACAGGAAGGAAGAAGAAAAGAGGGAAGCAGAGGAGGAAGAAAGAAAGAGGAAACGGGAAUUGUGAGCUGGACCAGGAAAAGUAAGUAAACUAGAUCUCAAAAACCACCGUCAGCCUAGCAAGUCAUUUGGAAGUAAAAUCCAUAGGCAAAAAGCCAUUUCCGUACCGAAGGGUGACAAAGGAUUUCCAACCCAUUUGAGCCAACACCUGAAAAUAUCACUAUUUUUCUUGAAAAUGACAUCUCAAAGCACUAAUUUUUCCCCUUUUGUAGACUUUUUUUUUGUCAGUCAUACUCUAAUCCUACUAUAACACUCACUCUCAAAAUAUAUAUAUAUAUAUAUAUAUAUAUAUAUAUAUAUAUUAAAUAGCUUGUUAGCGUGUCGGUGCUACUUAGCAUGUCAUCACUCAAUAACUCAUCCAACCAUCCUGCGGUGGUCACGAUUCUCUUUGUUUCCCCUUCUUGUCUCUUGCCCCCUCUAUCUCUUGAUUUUUCGUUGCGACGUGACUGCUAGAACAAAGGUGAUCUACUGUGGUGGUAGUGGCAAUCCUUAAUAGAUACCAUCAGAGAGCAGCAGCAAUCGUUCCAUACUUCCAAUAUUAUUCUCUUUUUCUACAAAAAUUUGUAAAAACAACCCUUAAUUAUUUUAAAAACUUAACUUAUUAGAUAAAGCUGCACCUCGCCAUUUAAAUGCUCUAUUGCUUUUUUGAGUAAUUUAUUCAAAACUCUUAUCCAUUCUUUUACAUAAUCCCACUCUAGAUUGGCCAAACACGCCAUGAGAUUGGGUUUCACUAUAUAUCCAUCGCUGUUAUGUUCGGUUAAUUAACCAAACAAAGGCAUUCGUUAGCUUCCUUCCACAUGCGGAGGAUUUCAUAUCUUACUAAAAUUCCAAUCCACUCCGAGCCCGGGCGGGUCCCACGCGCCGGCUGAGCAACCAAGCCUUCGGAUCCGGGCAUAUUCGGGUAGCGAUUCCGAGUGCGUUCCAAGUCAGGAUUUAUUUUUUCCCCUCUCUUUUGGGAGAGCCAAAACAACAGCACGUGAAAAGCACAAAUAUACAAAAUGUGAAUGAGGAGGAGGAAACGGAACCACCAGCACCAAUUCUCCCCUCUUUUGGCCUUUUGUCCCGUUGAUCGGGUCCCACGUAACAUUUGGAGAUGGCGGAACCGGAGCCAGAACCAGAACUUGAACCAAUCGACACGUGCCAUUCGGAUUGGAUAAUCUAGCCGUCACCAACCCCUACCUAAAUUUGUGAUCGCGAGGGGACGAAAUGAGGCCAGAGUUUAAUAAGAAAAGCGCAUGGAUUAGAGAAAAAAUGUUGUUUCGCUCUUGAGGCAGCAGCCUUUUUGGACCUGGAACCCUUCGUUCCUCUCCGGGGAGGGCAAAAGUGGAAUUAUCACCUUGUGCUCGUACUGUUAAUUGAUAAAUAAUUAUGUGAUAGUUUUUCAAUAUACAAUGAGAAUAAUAAUUUAUUCUGUUCCAUAAAAAAACAAAUCACAAAUAAUUCUAAUUUUUUUUUUUUGGUAAAACGUAAGAUGUAUUACAACUAGAGAACCAAGGAGCUAUACAAAAAGCACAGCAACACAACCGACUUCAAACAUACACGCAACUGGACACACCUUAAGGACUGUUAUGCUAACAAAGUCCUUACUAAUAGAAAGGCUUUUCCGCUUUUUGUGGAUUAAGUGUUGUUGUAACUAGUUGCAAUCAUAGAUAUGAUUAGGAUGUUAUUCAUUUAUAUGAAUUUAAUAACUACUUGGAGAUGAGAAGUUCGUGAUGAGAGGAAGAUAUUGAAUUAAAAGAAACUGAUGAAAAGCUGCAUAUAGCUAGUUAUGUUGUGAAACAAAUAAAUACUAGUUUUUAUUGUACUGUUGAACCCCACUAAAACAAACAAAAUACAUUAUCUUUCAAUUAAUGUAUCAUAGUUUUAGAUGUAGUCUUUAGAUAUUUCAUUGUCAAUUAAAUUACGGCAUAUAUAUUUACUGUAGUUUUCGUAUACUUCUUCAUCGGUUAAAUUCCAAUAUGUAUCUUUGUUGUAGUUUAUGGUUGUUUUGUCAUCGAUUUAAUUUUGAUAUUUUGUCUCUAUCUAUAUACUUCACUAUUGAUUAAAUUCCGUUGAAAUAUGUUAAUUACUUUCCUCCUAAACCUGUAAUAUUUUUUAUUUGGAAUUGUCAUAGAUGUUAUCUCCUCUAUAUAUAGCAAAAAAGACUUUCGGUAAAAGUUAUUUCACUGUCGCAACAAAUUCCAGUGAAACAUUAUCGCAUCAAAUGUAUAUGUAAUGACCUUAAACCAGCUAGUCAUUGGUGGACACUGAAUAUACAAUACAUGUCAUCUAGGAAACAUCAACACUCUCCAAAAGCUUUUGUAUCGUCUUGAAUACUCUGACAUGUGUUCGACACUCUUUGACACUCUCAGACACUCUCUAAUACAUUGUCAAUACAUAUUAGAAAAUUCGACAUCUAGUUAACUUUCCCAAUACUCUCUAACACUUGAGUUGGAAUUCCAACAUGUGAGUUUCUAACAAGUGAUUCUGACACAUGAAGUCCAUUUCAAAAAGUUUCAAUAAAUGAGGAGUCAAAAUAUAUAUAUGUAUGUAUGUGUGUGUGUGUGUGUGUGUGUGUGUGUGUGUGUGUGUGAACAAUAAAAAAAAUAACAAAAAUAAUUAAUGGGGAAAGCAUGAAAACCUAGUAUUUUUUUUCUCUUUUGACUUUUACUUCAUGUGAUACACAAUUCACUCUUCAAUUUUUUUUUCUCUUCUCUUUCAAUAUGUUUGACACGCAAGUCUAGAAUGUGAAUUAAUUUUUUUUCCUUUCAAAUUUUAUGAAUUAUUAGAAUGGAAUUGAAUUUGUCAAACUAAAACACUAAAUGAUAUUAAUAAAUGAUGUAUUAAUUUUUUAGUUUAAAUUCAUUCUAGGCUUAUUUAUUUAUUUAUUAGUGAAUUUGAUUGAAAUAAUCAUUAAAAUGAUAAUUUAUUAUGUAUAUUUAAAAAUAAACAUUUAAUAUACAAUGUAUCAUAACAUGUUGGAAUUUUAUAUUUUUUUUUAUAAAUGAUUUGUCAGCGUGUCGUGUUAUGUAUCACGUAUUAGUGUCGGUGCUAUUUAGCAUGUCAUUGCUCAAUAACUCAUCUAACCAUCGCGGUAGUAACGAUUCUCCUUGUUUCCCGUUCUUGGCUCUUGCUCCCUCUGUCUCUGUAGAUUUUUUGUUGUGACGUGAUUGCCAGAACAAAGGUGAUCUACUAUGGUGGUAGUGGCAAUCAUUAAUAGAGACCAUCAGGGUAGCGGCCAUCGUUCCAUACUUCCAAUAUUAUUCUCUUUUUCUACAAAAAAUUGUCAAACAACCUUUAAUCAUUUUAAAAACUUAACUUAUUAGAUAAAGCCGCACCUCGCCAUUUAAAUCCUCUAUCACUUUUCGAGUAAUUUAUUCAAAACUCUUAUCCAUUCUUUUAUAUAAUCCCACUCUAGAUUCACCAAACAUGCCAUGAGAUUGGAUUUCACUAUAUAUCCAUUGUUGUUAUGUUUGGUGAUUAAAAGACACUCGUUAGCUUCCUUCCACAUGCGGAGGAUUUCAUAUCUUACUAAAAUUCCAAUCCACUCCGAGCCCGGGUGGGUCCCACGCGCCAGCCAAGCAACCGGGCCUUUGGAUCCGGGCAUUUGGGUGGUGAAUCCCAGUGCGCUCCAGGUCAGGAUUUUUUUUAUUUUUUUUUUUUUGCUCUUUUAGGAGAGCCAAAAUGACAGUACGUGAAAAAGCACAAAGAUACAAAAUGCGAAUGAGGAGGAAAUGAACCACCAUCACCCAUUCUUCCACUUUUUGGCCUUUUGUCCCGUUGCUGGGGUCCCAUGUAAUGUUUGGAGAUGACGGAAUUGGAAUCGGAAUCGGAACCCGAACCCGAACCUGAAUCAGUUGACACGCUGGUUGGAUUGGAUAAUCCAUCCCUCACCAACCCCUACCUAAAUUUGUGAUUGCGAGGGAACGAAACGAGGCCAGAGUUUAAUAAGAAAAGCACAUCGAUUAGAGAAAAAAAUCUUAUUUCGCUCCCAAGACAGCAGCAUUUAUGGACCUGGAACCCCACGUUCCUCUCCAGGGAGGGCAAAAGUGGAACUAUCGCCUUGUACUUAUACUUUUAAUUGAUAAAUGAUUACAUGACAGAUUUUCAAUAUAUUAUGACAAUAAUAAUUUGUUCUGCAUCAAAAAAAAUCAAAUCACAAAUAAUUAUAAAAUUAUAAUAUAACUUAUUUUUUCAAAAAUUUAUGACUCACUUAAAGACUGUUAUUCUGUUAUGUUAACAAAGCCCUUACUAAUAGAAAGGCUUUUUCUUCUCUAUAGGGAAGUCCAUCUCUUCAGUGUCGUUCAAGGGUAUUAGGAUUCCACGUGUAAUUACCAAAAAGUACAAAGUAAAAACGAGCAAGAAAAUUUGAGACAUAAUAUUUUAUCUUAGAUUACUUUUAAAGCUAGAGUUACAUCCAAUAAAUGAUUUCACUAUAAAUUAGUAUACCAUAGCUCUCUAUUACAACUUUCAAUUACUCAAAUUAUAAGGCCAAUAUUUCAAAAUCAUCCUAGAGAUCAAGAUCGAUUUCUAAGCAAAUUGCAUUUGCGACUAGAUUUGAGGCGUUGGACUUUACUGUGCCGCAACAUAAACAUGAAGGAUUUCCAACCCACUUUGAGCCAACACCUGAAAAUAUCGUUAUUUUUCUUUAAAAUGACAUCUCAACUUACCAAUUGUUCCCCUUUUGUAGACUUUUCAAGCUAUUUCCUUUCAUAUCUUUUUUCUCCGGGACUACUCUUGAUUUGGUCAAAAUAUUACAAUUACAUCGAUUAUGCUUUUGUAAAUAAAGAGAAAAUAAGUAACAAAGGCUUUCUAUAUGUAAUGCAGAAACUUAGGCAAGAAAGUUUAUGUGAACAAUGUGAAAUUAAAGUGGAACGAGAAUCUUUAAAAAGUCCUUAAGCGAUAAGAUGGAAUCCAUCGGCACCUCCAAAAAAAAAAAAAGUGACGCAAGUGAACUUCUCAAAGAAGCGAAAGACUUCAAUAAAGACCCGCAAAGCACGGGGCCCUGAAGCUGAGGUGAGUUCGCCUGUGCACGAGUGAAGUAACAGAACUAGAAGGAGAUGGGAGCUGUGAUCAUCCCACGGAAUCUGCCGGUCGGGUACGGAUUCCGUCCCACCGACGAGGAAUUGGUCGAUCAUUACUUGAAGCUGAAAGUGCAAGGAUUCACAGGCGUUAAUUGUAUCAUUCCCGAGGUCGAUAUCUGCAAGUGGGAGCCUUGGGAAUUACCAAAAAUAUUUGAGGGUAAAGAACGAGACGCUGCUAUUCAUUUUUCCUGUCCGUUUUUGGCCAGUUAUGGCAUCGUCAUGGAUAUCUCGUACUUAUAAAUGUGGCAUCAUGUUGUCCUAGAGUUCUGUGACGAUCGCAGAAAAAUAGUCUUUGAAUCAGUGAAUGUUUUGCGGAAUUUGCUGAUGGAAUCGAAGUUUGACUGUGUACAGUUCACUAUGCAUCUUUUGGCUGUAGGAAAAGAAAGGGAUAAGUUCAUCAUUAAUUAGAUUUGAAUUGAACUUGACAGAGCAAUCAAUCAUUCCUCCUGAUGACAAAGUUCAAGAGUGGUGGUUCUUCUAUCUGCAAACGCCACGAAUUCAAAGAUCGACUCCGUUGGGAUUUUGGAAGAAGACUGGUGUUGAUAGGCCUAUCAAGGCUGGAGACAGGAACAGAGAGAUUGGUACUAAGAAAACACUGGUCUUUCAUAGGGGUCACGGCAAAAGGGCCAUCGGGACCAAAUGGGUCAUCCACGAAUAUCAUCUACUGACCAACAAUCUCAAUGAACUGUUUCCACAUGCUGUAUGCAAUCUGUCCCUCGUUUAUUUCUUCUGGUUUACUACAUUCAUUUGAGUAUUCUAAUAAUCUGCAGAACCAUCCAAUUCAAAAGUUUCAAUUAGCCAAAAGCAAUCAUUCUGUUCUUCCUCAUUUUCCAUUGUCGAAGUUUGUAUUGGAGUAGGUUUCUGGAAUUUAAGUAGGACAAGAUCAGGUCUUAUGGAUUCCAAUAACAUGGUUGUUUGACAGCCUACCAAGAGCUACGUUGUCUGUCACUUAAAGCACAAAGGAAAUGAAGAGUCUGAUUUUUCAGCCCAGCAAUUAAAUGGUAGAGCCAUUAGCUCGAUGGACUUGGAUUCAGGCCUUCAUCAACCUGAACACAAUAACUCAUUUCCGGAAGUGAGAAUGAAAAUAUGUUCUGUUCAUGAGCAUAAUUUAUGAAGCAUGUUCCAUACUAAUCUUCUUUGUUUUGAAAACAGACGUGGAGUGAGGCAGUUGGAAACUCAUCAAUUAGCUUGGACGACUUGGAUUCAAACCUUCAUCAACCUGAACAUGAGAACUUAUUUCCGGAA